rnacentral:rRNA from 1 species
GAGAGAAAAGGUGCCAAACGAUCAGGGAGGCAAAGUAGAACAACGAGCCUGCCGGAGGCAUUCCUCAGCAUUGUCAAUGAAGCGGGCGUUGCCGGGCUUUGGGGCGGGUUGGGCACACUGGUGCUGAGACAGGUGCCCUACACGAUGGCGAAAUUUGCAGGGCAGGACACUUUGCAAC